UGGGCGUAAGGGCUCGCAGGCGGUUUCUUAAGUCUGAUGUGAAAGCCCCCGGCUCAACCGGGGAGGGUCAUUGGAAACUGGGAAACUUGAGUGCAGAAGAGGAGAGUGGAAUUCCACGUGUAGCGGUGAAAUGCGUAGAGAUGUGGAGGAACACCAGUGGCGAAGGCGACUCUCUGGUCUGUAACUGACGCUGAGGAGCGAAAGCGUGGGGAGCGAACAGGAUUAGAUACCCUGGUAGUCCACGCCGUAAACGAUGAGUGCUAAGUGUUAGGGGGUUUCCGCCCCUUAGUGCUGCAGCUAACGCAUUAAGCACUCCGCCUGGGGAGUACGGUCGCAAGACUGAAACUCAAAGGAAUUGACGGGGGCCCGCACAAGCGGUGGAGCAUGUGGUUUAAUUCGAAGCAACGCGAAGAACCUUACCAGGUCUUGACAUCCUCUGACAACCCUAGAGAUAGGGCUUUCCCUUCGGGGACAGAGUGACAGGUGGUGCAUGGUUGUCGUCAGCUCGUGUCGUGAGAU
rnacentral:rRNA from 1 species